ACUUAAAAAGUGUCUUUGCAUGGGUGAUCUAAUUGACUCCUCACAACAGCCACUUGAGGGCACAGGAGAGUCCACAUGAGGGGUUGUGUCGAUGGAAGAGGUUACUGCCCGCAUUUGAGGAGCCAGACAUGACUGUCUAAGACAGAUGGACAUGGACAUAGAAGGGAGAGGAACCAGAAGGGAUCACCACUGGCCUGGAGUCAACCCAGAAGCUGACGUGUUGUAUACGUCCCCAACACUGACUUUUUGUUUGGAUGCAGAAAGAUAAUUAUUUGUCUUUGGAAUGUUCAGGAAACCUUUUAAAUUUUGUACCCCUUUUCACGAUGUCCAGUUAAGUGAAAUUUCAGAAGGUCUACAAUAAAAUUGGUACAAGCUA